GAGAGUAUAGCUCAGUGGUAGAGUGCUUGCCUAGCAUGCAUGAGGUCCUGGGUCCAAUCCCCAGUACCUCCA
rnacentral:tRNA from 1 species